AAGGGUGCGUAGGCUGUUUUGAAAGUCAGGUGUGAAAUUUCUCGGCUCAACCGAGGCACUGCAUUUGAAACUUCAGAACUGGAAUUCGGGAGAGGGUAGCGGAAUUCCUGGAGUAGGAGUGAAAUCCGUAGAUAUCAGGAGGAACACCGGUGGCGAAGGCGGCUACCUGGCCCGAUAUUGACGCUGAAGCACGAAAGCGUGGGUAGCAAACAGGAUUAGAUACCCUGGUAGUCCACGCUGUAAAC
rnacentral:rRNA from 1 species